ensembl:lncRNA
GCCAAUGUGCAGAGAGGAAGGAGCUGCCUGGGAGGCAGGAGCCAGGCCCAUCUGCCUGAUGCCGCCAGAGGCCCUUGUGGUCAAGUUGGGGGGCAUUCUGGAGCAUGGUGCUCCUGGAGCCCUCCAUCGGAAUCCAAGGAUGCCUCCCUGGGCAGUGAGAAAAGAAAGGACUGCGAGGAAUGAUGGGAAGAUCUUUCAUUCACACUGAGAUAUAUUAGCUUUGCUUGCAUAUUUCUCCCUUUCCGAGGGUGUGAUUUGAGAGAGUUAGGCAAGGAGAGAGACAGCAGACACUAGACAGUCUUGGAGACUUGAAGCUUCCAUGCAGCACUGGCAGAAGCUUGGUGGCCCCCAGGCCAUGGCAUGGUCCCUGACCGAUGUCUGUGCAUGCAGGAGACGACCAGGACUGGAAGGCGUGGCAGGCUCUGCAGAAUCUGCUUGGUGGUGGUGGUGGUGGUGGGGGUGAACCUGCAGAGGCAGAGCCAGUGUCAAGACAGCAGCGCACUCUCAGGGACCCUGGGUUUGGGGAAUGGUGUACUUCCUCAUCAUACUGGGCUACUUCCUCAUCAUACUUUCAAUCCAGACAUUUGGCUCCAAACUUCCAGAGAGCCAGACAGGAUGGAGCCCAACAAAGAGAAGCAGAAAACAGAGUUGAAGAAAAGAGAGGAGUUCCCUAUGCCCUCCCUUUACUGUCCCAGGUAUUCGUGUGGGUGGGUGGGUGGGGGCUGAUCUGCAAGCUGGCUGGUUGUGUUUCGAAGUGCACGGGACACUCCCAUGGGGAAUCUGCAGCAGGAGGCUUGGUGGCAGCUGGAGCCUGCCUGAGGAGAGGCUAAAUGAGGCUAGCAAGGAUACAUUUGCAAGUUCAUCUUCAACAUCAUCUCAGAAGAAAAAAGAAAAACAAAACGAUUCUAAGGACUCUGGGGACCGGAAUGCAUUGAGUGGACUCACUUUGCACUUUGCUUCACAAUCAAGAUUUGUCUCCUCAUGACUUCAGCUUUGAGAAAGGCCUUAAGGGCUGCAGACAUAGGUUGGUGUGGGUGCUCCUGAAUUUAGCAGAGACUCAGAAAAGACUCAGCUCUUCAACCCUGAUUGAAGUUGGACCCUCCGUUUGCAAAUGCCUUUCCCUGGAAAAUUCUCCUAAAAUUAAAUAACCUUCAUUGCCCCAUACAGAGAAAUAUUCAUUAAGCCAGCACAUGAAAAAAAAAUCUCAUCUUUUUCUCUGUCCUAGAAAUACUCCUAUCAAGUUCUUAUAUACUCCGGGUAUUACUGAAAAUGUGGGUGAUGUGAUAUCGUGGCCAAACUUGGAUGUUUUACUCACUUACAUAUGUGUCAUGGAGUUACUUUCUUGCAAAUGACUUAAUAACAAGUAAUUAUUUCUUUAACUAUUUCCCCAAAAUGACUCAUUAUAAACACAUUCGGUUACUAAGAACUCUGCCUCAACAACUAAACCUCCUUGUAGAUUGUUUAAUUUUUUUCUUGAGUAAACUGUAGAAUUAUCUUAGUUGAUGAGGUAAUGAGGAAAAUGACAGUGGCUAAAGAUUAAUUUGGGCCAUUUCUUACUUGGAGAAAAUCCCAUUGAAAUGGAACAAAUAUCUCUAAAAAGAGAGAAAACUAUGUUUAGAUAGUCAGCCUACUAGCGGAGAAGCCAGAGUUCUCACCCCUGCAUGAGCAACUAACUUCCUGCUUUGUCAGUCGUCCCCCUUGGGCUGCUAGAAUGUCAUGUGACUAAGACGUCGAUAGCACCUUUCCUGAAAGGUCAUAAGCACAAAUGCGAUCUUCAUUUCUGCUGACCAUGAACUCUCGGAAUCCUUAACUCAGGAAACAAAAUUUUACAAGCCAAAACCAAGGAAAAAAAAAGAGAGAGCACAAAAGUCAAGCCUAUUAAGACGUGACGAUCAUCAUUUAAAAAAAAAAUCAUCUAUUAUUUUUCACUUUAUGUCUCUGUGUGGGAGCAAACUGUUGAAAUCCUUACUUAAGGUAUACUAAGCUGAUCUUCUGUAUAUUAAGAUAAUCGAAAAUGAAUCUUGAUGUGAAUGGAAGGGGAGAGGGAGUGGGAAAGGGGAGGGGUGUGGGUGGGAGGGACGGUAUGGGGGGGGGAAGCCAUUGUAAUCCAUGAGUCGUACUUUGGAAAUUUAUAUUCAUUAAAUAAAAGAUAAAAAAAAAAAAAGACA